UUAUAAUAUGCCUUUUUUUAUUUAUCUAACAUGUAAAAAAAAUCUUUUUCCGGCCCACAAUAUAGGUCUACAAAAAGUAUGCUAAAUGAUUAAAGACUAUGCUUCUGGAACAUUGGCAUAGUUAACCAGUUCUCCAUUGUUGGACACUUAGGAUAUAUUCAAUUCUAUAAAAUAAAUUUUAUUAAGGCCAAAUUUUUAUUCUAUCCACUAAUGAUAUAUUCAAUUGUGAUUCAGUUAUAAUAUUCAAUUGGGCAGAAUAUGUGAGUACACCAUAUCUUUUUCCUUUUUGAUGGGAUUCAGACAAAAAUGAAAUGGAUUGGAAUUCCUCUCUUUUUAAGGCUCAAACUUGUAGCAGUAUUACAAAUAGCCAGUGCUUUUAGGUGUGUGUGCACCUCCUAAUCCUCGCUGUUAUAAAAACAAAUACCCAUCAACUGUGCUGGAGGGAAAGCUGAAUUACCUUUUCUCUCCCUCUGCAGAAAAUGGUUUCAUAAAGUUGUUGCUAUAUGGGAAAAUGACUGAAAGGAAAAUAGGGCAGAAAAAGCACUUUGUCAAGAAGUUAAUUAAUGAAAAUACUAUUAGUUUCCAGAUUUUGAGAUAUUUGUUGCAAUAUUUUACUUAAUUUACUAUUUUGUGGCAUAUUUUACUUAUUGUGGUGCGUUUUCUCAUUCUAAAUAGAUGUAUUUUGGUACUUAACUCUGUAUUGUGAUUUUUGCAUUUUUUCCCCUAUGAUUGUGCAAGUUUAUGCCUGUCAGAGCCUACGUGCACACCUGGUAACCCCUGUAUUUCCCAGGUACAGUGUGGGCCACGGAGAAAUUCCCUCAGCUAAUGUUUAUGGACCAGAACUGAUGGCGCCAGAUUUGGCUAGUGCGCAUGCAGCCCCACCAAAAGGCACGGAGAUGAACAAGAGGAUGUUCCCAGCCAGAUAAUUGUGAGAAGCUCCACCGGCCAGCAACAGAACUAACAUCAAAGAAGCCACUCCUUUCCAGGAACCACUGCCCACGCUUUUUGAUAUGUGUGUGGAAAACUGCAUGUGUCUUCUGUGUCUGUGGAACCUACCCCUGAAAAGGGAAAACACUCCUUCUGGAAGCAGAGCCAUCUAGUGUAGCAGUCCCAAACUGGGAGAAACACACCACAAGGGGUGGGAGAAUCUUUACUGGUGCAUGGAGAGGUAUUCAUGGUUUUCAGGAAGGUUGCUCUCAUUUCAAGUCUCCUUCUUCCCUUCAAGGAGAGUGACUCAGUCAGAUAUUACAAUGUCCUUAACUCUUCUCAAACCCAAAGCUCCCAUUUCAACCCCAAAUGAAUAGGUCAUGGAGUGACAGCCUUCAAUAGAUCGCAAUAUCCAGCUAGCUUCAUAACACUGCUUUCCUUUGGUCUCCAGCAUUUGGAGUAAAUAGUACUGCUUUUUCAUUGGCAUUAGUGAUAGAGUUUCCUUUUAAAGUAACUAUACUUAAGUCAAAAACGGGUCUGGUUAAAGAAGAAGUAUUAAGUAAUAGCACAGGUGUUGGCUGACAUGCCAAAAAUGGUGAAAGCUAUGUUUAUGACUCGAGGCUGGGAACCAAUGAAACUGAGAAACAGAGAAAGAAGUCAGAAGUGCCUCGUUCCCCUCCUCAUCCUGGUGCUCUCCAGCAUGUGCCUUGGACAAGUCACUGCACCUCUUUCAUUACUGUUUGCUCAUAUGUAACCUGAGGAGAGUUAGCAGGCCAAAGACUUUUAAAGUAUAUUCUGAUUCUGAAAUUCUAUGAUGCUUUUAUUAUUGUGUGUGUGAGAAGUGACGGAAGAAGAGACCAUGGAAAGAACAGAACAGUAAAAGAAGGUGAGAUUCUUCUGUUUGUGGUCUUUGAAGUAAAGGUGAACUCUCUCUCUUUGAUUUCACUAUGGACUGAGUCCUAAGAGCAAAGCCAAUCUGUUAGCAAUUCUGUCUAUAGC
rnacentral:lncRNA from 12 species